AGCACCAGAACUUUCCGGAACUUUCAGGUCCUCACUAUGAAUCGAAUCUGAAACGGAGAGCAACCGUGCUUCAAUCGCGUCUUUCGUUUUGAUCCCUCUCGAUUCUCGUCGCCGGAGUUCGCCGGAGCCACCACACGGAAAUCAACCGGAGAAGUAAGCUGUAAAGUUUAAAUCUCUCUUCCGCUGGAGGAUUAAUUUGCCCGUUCUGAACUUAUUCCCGACAAGGACGUGAAUGCGAGGAACAACAACCAAAUUGCCUGUAAAGAAUCUGGUGAAGCAAAUAUAUCUCAUGCGGACAUGGAGACCCAUGACAGUGUCUGCACCCAAGAAACAAGAAGCGAAUGACGCCCAGGAAGGAGUAAUAGAAAUGAAUGGCGAUUUCGGACAAGCUGUUGCCUUUAAUAGGCCAAAGCUACCUCCUGUUCUUGGGCCUUUGGUUUUAUUGUCAGUUCUGGAAAUGGGUUCAAUUGCUGAGGAUGAAUCAUAAACAUAAUACAUCUUUAUUAUUAGUUUAGUAAAUAAAUGAAGAAACUGAGAAGUGGGAGAGUGAGAUGAUCCUCUAGAGUUCUCCAGAUGUUUGCAUGAGUCUUUGGUAAGAAUCUGCACUGAUAAAAUGUAAUGUGAAUAAUGUAUUUGACAGUAUGUUGGUGUUCUGUGAUUCUGAUAAUAAUGAAGUGAAUUGUACUUGUUUGCUGGGUGCACCAUGA